rnacentral:rRNA from 1 species
UACGUAGGACCCAAGCGUUAUCCGGAAUCACUGGGCGUAAAGCGUACGUAGGCGGAAAUUUAAGUGAUAUGCGAAAUCCUGGGGCUCAACCCUAUGGACUGUAGAUCAUACUGGAUUUCUAGAGGAUGGCAGAGGCAAGUGGAAUUGGUAGUGUAGCAGUGAAAUGCGUAGAUAUUACCAGGAACACCAAUGGCGAAGGCAGCUUGCUGGGCCAUUUCUGACGCUGAGGUACGAAAGCGUGGGGAGCGAACAGG